rnacentral:rRNA from 1 species
AACACAUGCAAGUCGAGCGGAGAUGAAGACUUCGGUCAACAUCUUAGCGGCGGACGGGUGAGUAACAUGUGGGCAACCUGCCUCAUACAGAGGAAUAACUACGUGAAAACGUGACUAAUACCUCAUAAUAACACCGUAUGGCAUCAUAAGGUGAGGAAAGGUAAUAACCGGUAUGAGAUGGGCCCGCAUCUGAUUAGCUAGUUGGAGGGAUAAAAGCCCCCCAAGGCGACGAUCAGUAGCCGACCUGAGAGGGUGAUCGGCCACAUUGGGACUGAGACACGGCCCAAACUCCUACGGGAGGCAGCAGUGGGGAAUAUUGCACAAUGGGCGAAAGCCUGAUGCAGCAACGCCGCGUGAAGGAAGAAGGGCUCCGGCUCGUAAACUUCUAUCAAUAGGGAAGAAGAAAGUGACAGUACCUAAAUAAGAAGCCCCGGCUAACUACGUGCCAGCAGCCGCGGUAAUACGUAGGGGGCAAGCGUUAUCCGGAAUUACUGGGUGUAAAGGGUGAGUAGGCGGCAAGUUAAGUAAGAUGUGAAAGCCUGCGGCUUAACCGCAGGAUUGCAUUUUAAACUAAUUAGCUAGAGUACAGGAGAGGUAAGCGGAAUUCCUAGUGUAGCGGUGAAAUGCGUAGAUAUUAGGAAGAACACCGGUGGCGAAGGCGGCUUACUGGACUGAAACUGACGCUGAGGCACGAAAGCGUGGGGAGCGAACAGGAUUAGAUACCCUGGUAGUCCACGCCGUAAACGAUGAGUGCUAGGUGUCGGGGGGGAACCCUCGGUGCCGCAGCUAACGCAAUAAGCACUCCACCUGGGGAGUACGAUCGCAAGAUUGAAACUCAAAGGAAUUGACGGGGGCCCGCACAAGCGGUGGAGCAUGUGGUUUAAUUCGAAGCAACGCGAAGAACCUUACCAAGGCUUGACAUCCCUGUGACAGGUAUAGAGAUAUACCCUUCCUUCGGGACACAGGAGACAGGUGGUGCAUGGUUGUCGUCAGCUCGUGUCGUGAGAUGUUGGGUUAAGUCCCGCAACGAGCGCAACCUCUACAUUUAGUAGCCAUCAUUAAGUUGGGCACUCUAGAUGGACUGCCGUGGAUAACACGGAGGAAGGUGGGGAUGACGUCAAAUCAUCAUGCCCCUUAUGUCUUGGGCAACACACGUGCUACAAUGGCUGGAACAAAGGGAAGCAAAUGGGCGACCAGGAGCAAACCUCAAAAAUACAGUCUCAGUUCGGAUUGUAGUCUGCAACCCGACUACAUGAAGUUGGAAUCGCUAGUAAUCGCAAAUCAGAAUGUUGCGGUGAAUACGUUCCCGGGCCUUGUACACACCGCCCGUCACACCAUGGGAGUUAGAAGCACCCGAAGUCAGUGACCCAACCGAAAGGAGGGAGCUGCCGAAGGUG